AGACAGAGUCUUGCUCAGUCGCGCAGGUUGAAGUGCAAUGGCGAGAUCUCGGCUCACUGCAACCUCCGCCCCCCAAGUUCAAACGGUUCCCCUUUUGAAGAGAGCAAUUCAGAGGGCCAUUAACUAUAUAAGCACAAGAAAAGUCCAAAGAUCCUGGAGCUACCUAGGGAACAGAGCUCCAAAGAAAGCCUCCUGCGUGGAAGCUUCCCUGAGGAAGAGCUGAUAACACCUUAAACCUCCUCUGGAUUCAAGUUAAAGCAAAAAAUGUCCUUCAAAAAUGAAGACAAAGUAAAGAGUUCAUAAGACAGACAAAAGCUGAGACAAUACCCAGAAGACUUAUACUACAAGAAACACUAAAGAAAGUUUCUCACACUGAAGGAAAAUAAUAUCUGAUGGAAACUUGAAUCUACACAAAGGAAUAAAGAUUGUCAAAAAGGGUAAAUAAAUGAUUAAAUAUAAAGGAUACUUUCUCUUUUUUUAGUUUCUUUUUUUAAUAGAGAUGUGGUCUCACUUAUAUUGCCCAGGCUGGUCUCAAACUCCUGGGCUCAAGCAAUCUUCCUGCCUCAGUCUCCCAAAGUGCUGGGAUUACAGGCGUAUGCCACUGUACCCUGUACUUUAUUAACUUCUUCAAAAGAUAAUUGAACUAAAGCAAAAAAAAAAUAACUCCAUAUUUGGGGCAUGUGAUAUAUGUAAAAGUAAAAUGUAUGACAACUGCACAAAGGACAAUAGGAAAGAAAUAUAAUUAUACUUUUAUAAAGAUCUUACAUUAUAUGUGAGGUAAUAUAAUGUGAAGUUAGACUGCCACAAUGUAGAAAUGCAUAGGAAACACUAAAGUAACCACUAAAAAAUAAAACAGAAUGCAGCAAAAUAGGGAUAAAGCAGAAUUCUUAAAAAUAUGCACUUAGUUUAAAAUAAGGCAGAAAAAGAAGAAAAAUGGUACACAGAACCUGGAACACACAGAACAAAUAGAAAACAAAUAGCAGUAUGGAGGGACACAGAGCUUCAGAGACCGGUGGGACACCAGCAAGAAUACUAACAUAUGCGUAAUGAGAAAAGAGGAAAAGGGCAGAAAGAAUAUCUGAAAAAAUAAUGGCUGAAAACUUCCCAAUUUUGAUGAAAGACACAUAUCCAAGAGGCUCAAUGGGAUUCUUGAGUGUGAAUCCACAUCCAAGCAGCUCAAUAAACUCCAAGUAGGAUAAACUAUAAGAUUCACAGAGACACAUUGCAAUCAAAUCGUUGAAAGCCAAAGACACAGCAAGAAUCUUGAAAGCAGCAAGAGAGAAGUAAUCUGUCAUAAACAAAGGAUCCUCAAUAAAGGUCAACAGCUAGUUUCUCAU